GACGAACGCUGGCGGCAUGCCUAAUACAUGCAAGUCGAGCGAACGGAUGAAGUGCUUGCACUUCUGACGUUAGCGGCGAACGGGUGAGUAACACGUAAGGAAUCUACCUAUAAGCGGGGGAUAACAUUCGGAAACGGGUGCUAAUACCGCAUAAUAUCUUCUUCCGCAUGGAAGAAGAUUGAAAGACGGCGCUGCCGUCACUUAUAGAUGACCUUGCGGUGCAUUAGUGAGUGGGUGGGGUAAUGGCCUACCAAGACGAUGAUGCAUAGCCGACCUGAGAGGGUGAUCGGCCACAUUGGGACUGAGACACGGCCCAAACUCCUACGGGAGGCAGCAGUAGGGAAUCUUCCGCAAUGGGCGAAAGCCUGACGGAGCAAUGCCGCGUGAGUGAAGAAGGCCUUCGGGUCGUAAAACUCUGUUAUAAGAGAAGAACAAAUUGUAGAGUAACUGCUACAGUCUUGACGGUAUCUUAUCAGAAAGCCACGGCUAACUACGUGCCAGCAGCCGCGGUAA
rnacentral:rRNA from 1 species